rnacentral:rRNA from 1 species
UGGGGAAUAUUGCACAAUGGGCGCAAGCCUGAUGCAGCAACGCCGCGUGAGGGACGACGGCCUUCGGGUUGUAAACCUCUUUUAGCAGGGAAGAAGCGAAAGUGACGGUACCUGCAGAAAAAGCGCCGGCUAACUACGUGCCAGCAGCCGCGGUAAUACGUAGGGCGCAAGCGUUAUCCGGAAUUAUUGGGCGUAAAGAGCUCGUAGGCGGUUUGUCGCGUCUGCGGUGAAAACCCGAGGCUCAACCGCGGGCC